AAUGGGCGAAAGCCUGAUGCAGCGACGCCGCGUGCGGGAUGACGGCCUUCGGGUUGUAAACCGCUUUCAGCAGGGAAGAAGCGAAAGUGACGGUACCUGCAGAAGAAGCACCGGCUAACUACGUGCCAGCAGCCGCGGUAAUACGUAGGGUGCGAGCGUUGUCCGGAAUUAUUGGGCGUAAAGAGCUUGUAGGCGGUUUGUCGCGUCUGCUGUGAAAACCCGGGGCUCAACCCCGGACUUGCAGUGGGUACGGGCAAACUAGAGUGUGGUAGGGGAGACUGGAAUUCCUGGUGUAGCGGUGAAAUGCGCAGAUAUCAGGAGGAACACCAAUGGCGAAGGCAGGUCUCUGGGCCAUUACUGACGCUGAGAAGCGAAAGCGUGGGGAGCGAA
rnacentral:rRNA from 1 species